AUUGAACGCUGGCGGCAUGCUUUACACAUGCAAGUCGAACGGUAACAGGGUGCUUGCACCGCUGACGAGUGGCGAACGGGUGAGUCAUGCGUCGGAACGUGCCGAGUAGUGGGGGAUAACGCAGCGAAAGUUGUGCUAAUACCGCAUACGUACUGAGGUAGAAAGUGGGGGAUCUUCGGGCCUCACGCUAUUCGAGCGGCCGGCGUCUGAUUAGCUAGUAGGUGAGGUAAAGGAUCAACUAGGCGACGAUCAGUAGCGGGUCUGAGAGGAUGAACCGCCACACUGGGACUGCGACACGGCCCAGACUCCUACGGGAGGGAGAAGUGGGGAAUUUUGGACAAUGGGCGAAAGCCUGAUCCAGCCAUGCCGCGUGUCUGAAGAAGGCCUUCGGGUUGUAGAGGACUUUUGUCGGGGAGGAAAUCCCCAGCGUUAAUACCGCUGGGGGAUGACAGUACCUGAAGAAUAAGCACCGGCUAACUACGUGCCAGCAGCCGCCGUAACAC
rnacentral:rRNA from 1 species